GUUGUGAUAGGCGAUGCAGGUCAUGCCAGCGGCCUUUGCCGCCGCGAUGCCGGCGGUCGCGUCCUCGAUCACGGUAC
rnacentral:tRNA from 1 species